rnacentral:rRNA from 1 species
CCUACGGGUGGCAGCAGUAGGGAAUCUUCCGCAAUGGACGCAAGUCUGACGGAGCAACGCCGCGUGAGUGAAGAAGGUUUUCGGAUUGUAAAACUCUGUUGCCGGGGAAGAACGGCCGCGGGAGGAAAUGCCAGCGGUUUGACGGUACCCGAGAAGAAAGCCCCGGCUAACUACGUGCCAGCAGCCGCGGUAAUACGUAGGGGGCAAGCGUUGUCCGGAAUUAUUGGGCGUAAAGCGCGCGCAGGCGGUUUCUUAAGUCCGGUGUGAAAAGGCAGGGCUCAACCCUGUCUGGCAUCGGAAACUGGGAGACUGGAGUGCAGAAGAGGAGAGUGGAAUUCCACGUGUAGCGGUGAAAUGCGUAGAGAUGUGGAGGAACACCAGUGGCGAAGGCGACUCUCUGGUCUGUAACUGACGCUGAGGCGCGAAAGCGUGGGGAGCAAACAGGAUUAGAUACCCUAGUAGUC